GACAGAGGGGGCAAGCGUUGCUCGGAAUCAUUGGGCGUAAAGGGCGCGUAGGUGGUUCUGUAUGUCUACCGUGAAAGCAUACAGCUCAACUGUAUUUUGUCGGCAGAAACUGCAGGACUUGAGGCUGGGAGGGGCUGGUGGAAUUCCCUGUGUAGCGGUGAAAUGCGUAGAUAUCAAGAGGAACACCUGCGGCGAAGGCGGGUUGCUGGGCCGACACUGACGCUGAUGCGCGAAAGCCAGGGGAGCGAACGGG
rnacentral:rRNA from 1 species